CAAAACAUGGCUUCUCGUUUCUAACCUAUGUGAAGUCGUACCUGCCCAGUGAAAUUUUAACGGCCGCGGUACUCUGACCGUGCAAAGGUAGCAUAAUAAUUUGCCUUAUAAUUGAAGGCUGGAAUGAAUGGUUUGUCAAGGAUAAAACUGUCUCUAUAGAAUUUUAUAGAAUUUUAUUUCUAGGUGAAAAAGCCUAGAUUAUAUUAAAAGACAAGAAGACCCUAUCGAGCUUUAAAAAACUUAAUAAAUAUCUAUAACUAAUUAGAAAUCUAAUUAUUAAAAAUUUUGGUUGGGGCAACCUAGGAGUAAAUAAAGCCUCCUUUUUUGAAAAAACUCUUUACGUUAUGAGCCAAAAAUUUUGAUCAGUAGAAAUAGUUACCGUAGGGAUAACAGCAUUAUUUUUUUUGAGAGUUCUUAUCGAAAAAAAAGUUUGUGACCUCGAUGUUGGACCAGAAUAUCCUAAAGAUGUAGAAGUCUUUAAGGGUUGGUCUGUUCGACCAUUAAAAUUCUACGUGAUC
rnacentral:rRNA from 1 species